UCAUUUACUCAAAAUCCCAAAAAAAAAUAGAUAGAGAUGGAGCCGUAGGUUUAAGAAGUUUUCAUCCUGCAGUUUGAAGUUCUCUCCUUGAAACAAAAGGGUUAUCUCCGCAAGUUAAGGUCGGAACCAGAAAAUCAAGUUAAGGAAAUUAAACGAGCGAGGUUGAGCAGUGACAGUGGAGAAUGCUGAGUAGAGUUUUGAUUUACUUUUUAUUUUAAGAAGAGGCUCUCGGCGGUGCAUGUCUCCAUACAUGUGACCGUGUUCAUUCCGCUGCAUACUAAGAUUCUAGAUAGAUAACAUCGAAUGUCUUUCCAUACUCUGAUAAUUAUUUAUUGAAUAGUAAGAUUUCCAUUCAAAUUCUAGUGAUUAAGAGUUAAUUUGAAGUUGCUUCCCUUAUUUCUAAGUGAAUAUUCGGUCAUUAUUAUCCC